UGCCAGCCGCCGCGGUAAUACGGAGGGUGCGAGCGUUAAUCGGAAUCACUGGGCGUAAAGCGUACGUAGGUGGCAAAGUCAGUCAGGCGUGAAAGCCCUCGGCUUAACCAAGGAAGUGCAUUCGAAACUGCAAGACUUGAGAACGGAAGAGGAAAGUGGAAUUCCUAGUGUAGAGGUGAAAUUCGUAGAUAUUAGAAGGAACAUCAGAGGCGAAGGCGGCUUUCUGGUCCGAUACUGACGCUGAGGUACGAAAGCGUGGGGAGCAAACAGGAUUAGAUA
rnacentral:rRNA from 1 species